CUGAUCAUUAUGAGGCCUGCCAAAUCCACCCAAGUCGAUGUUUUCCCUGUAUUGUGAAAUGCUCUAAUGAUGUCCCCCAGGUAACACAAUGCCAUUUUGUUCAGGAGACAAAGCCUGAAGCUGGUUAACUCUGCCAUCAACAGCAGGUGUCUGGAAUGGCAACAAAGAAACAGCAUCAAUAAUGGAGAAGUGGGGUGAGGGAAGCUAAUCAGCUUAAUGAAAUAAGGCUCAAGGUUAGUAAAGGGCUAUUUAUAGUCUUCUCCUGGUGGAGCCCUGUGCGCUCAGACUCCGGAUAAGACCAGCUCCUUAACAACAGUAAUAAUCAUUACAGAAAAAAAUUGGAGGGGGGGUUAAAGCUUGAAAAAUUCGCUGCCGGAGGUAAAGCUUUAGAGGCAGAGCUGGCUGGAGUCAGAUGUAACUGCAUUACAAAGAGAUUGAAAGGUUAAUAGGAAACCAGCUGACGCUGAAAAAGAACAAUUAGAGAGGUUAAGGGGCUUAAUAUUAGAUUAAUGGCUGCCUGGAGGAUCAAAUUCAGAGAUUCCAGGAAAAUGGAGCUGGGUGCAGAAAAAGCUUUUUCACAGAGCCACACAUCUGGUCCUGUCACCCUCUCUGGAGGAGAUGGACUGAGAUAACUCCAGUGGUCUUCCCCAGCUCUUUUCCCCCAGUCCCUCAAUCUUUUUUCUUUACUGGUCUCCAUUGCUGCCCCCUCCUGAACACACAUGCCUUCCUCAUCUUUGUUUUCUUUGGUCUCCUGACAGUCCUUGUCAUGCAAAGAUCUCAGGACACAGCUCUCCCAGGUGAGCUAGUGUCACCAUGCCCUCAUUAUACAUGGGUAAACUGAGACAUGGGCAGCUGAAGUGACUUGACCAAGGCCACGCACUGAGUCACUGGUAGAGUAAGGUCUCAUCUACCAGCCCCUGGCCCACUCCACCUCCCUUUUCCUGGUUAUGCAGUAGGGAUACUAUGCCUUUCUACAGUCUCAGACACUGCAAUUAUCCACAGCCAUCGACAACACCUUUAGCAGGGCCUUUCUGAAAUUGGAGCUAUUCACAUUCUGUGGCUUGGCACUGGCCGAGACAUGAAGAAGAUGAGGCAUUGAAAUAGGCCUCACACACAGGCAGCCUUCAUCUGAGGAGGGACUUUUCAUAUGGCUCCAAGGUUUUGCUGGGAUCUUCUCUGAGACACAAGCCAGCCUGUUUGCUCUGGCAAAUCUCUGGUAGACUUUUGACAUCUCAUUAGCUCAAGCAGUAAGGAGCAGGCCGUCACUUUGUGUGAUACCCCUGACCUCUCUGACACUGUCAGGACACAAAGGACUGGCAUUUUGUAGAACAACAUUAGGUUGGAGUUUUUCUAGUCUCAAAACUGUUUCAGACUCUGCUCAAUUCCUGGGGCUGAGCAAGGAUCUGACCUAGUCAGCUCACGCUCAGCAAUUCAUUUCUAAAUCAAAGUAACAAAUAGCUCCUAGCCUCUGCUCAGCUAGCAGUGCCUCAGAAAUCAGGACCUCGCUCUCUCACUUUGAACCCCUUCUGGAUACAAUGCCCAGGACCAAACAAAGAGGAGCCAAGUGAGAGGGCUUUUCUUGGUGGAUGAAUAUGCUGGCACCAGGGUGUACCCUGGCUGUGGUCAGUACAACUGCAUACAAAGUCCUGAAGUAGCACACAUGCUUUGCUCCUUUCCUACCUUCUGCAGGGCAUUAGCCCUGCACAUCUGUGCAGAGCACAUCCCCACCAGUCACACCCCUGGCUUGUUCACCUGCACUUCCUCAACAGGGAGCAAAGGUGAGCUUCUGUGGAGGUCUCGUACUGCUGCAGGUCUCAGACUCGCAGUGUUGGAAUGGACCCUAUGAAUCGUCUACAUCCAAGCCUCUCUGCAUGUUCAAGAUACGAAUACAGAACCUUGGGCUUUAAGCAUACUCAAAUACUCCAAGACUUGCAACUCCAAAAAAAUAGAGUUUUCACAGCACUUGCAUAAGUCCAGCUUCCAUUCCAGUUCAAGAGCAGGUUGGGUCCUUAGCUCAGAAAGUCACUUCUAAAGAACUGAAGAUCAUUCUUUCCCAUCUUCCGCUGAGUUCCACCAAGGGAAAGAAUUUAGAAGAGACUGAUUUACUGCUGCAGGCUGAACCAGUCUUUUCUCUGAAUCUGUUUCUCUUUUGCAUCUAAACUGUACAAAAAUCAGCUGUAUAUCGCAUGGAUUAGUUUUUCAUACACAUCAGGGAUAGGGUGAUGUUAAUCGCUAAGAAUUGGCAUGAAUAAAUGAAGCACUGUGACUGGUUGUAAAAAUUAAGGACUGAAGGGAUGAAUGGGAAGGCAUUUGGCAUAUGACCCAGUAGAUGUCCAUCUUCAAACAAUCCCAGUACGUCCAUCUUCAAAACAAUCUCCGUAUGGAAAGAAAAUACGUCCCAGGAAGAUAAAAAAGUGGUCUCUGUAUUGGAAAGAAAAUAUGUCCCAGGAAGAUAAAAACAGUGGUCUCCUUAUAAGAGUUUACUACACCACGACAUAGCAGAGCCUUCCAGGACAGAUGACAUUCAUUACAGUUUCUUUGCUUAGCUCUUCUUUUGUCAUAGCACAGUAGAGUUUGGCUCGCUGGACUGUAACCCUGGCUCCUUUCACAGUUUAAACGCCUGAAAUAAAAACAUAUGGAUUUA